CCAAAAGCAGCUGAAUGCACAACUCAAACUGUCAUCCAAGCACACAAAGAAGGCAUUGAUAGUUUUGCUGUUUUUGCCCAGGCUGCAGUGCAAUGGCGCGAUCUUGGCUCACUACAACCUCAGCUUCCCAGGUUCAAGUGAUUCUCCUGCCUCAGCAUCCUGAGUAGCUGGGAUUACAGGCACAUGCCAGCACACCUGGAUAAUUUUGCAUUUUUAGUGAAGACAGGGUUUCAGCAUGUUGGACAGUCUGGUCUCGAAAGUCUGACCCCAGGUGAUCCACUCACUUCAGCCUCCCAAAGUGCUGGGAUUACAGGCAUGAGCCACUGCACCCAACCUCAACUAAUGUAUUUCUAAAAAAGUAUGCAUGAUUAAAAUUAGGCAUCAAAAUCUUUUAAAUGUCUACAUUUUAAAAU
rnacentral:lncRNA from 1 species